rnacentral:guide_RNA from 1 species
AUCUCCUUCACUGAUAUAUGAGGUAAUAAUAUUAAUAAU